rnacentral:rRNA from 1 species
UACGAAGGGGGCUAGCGUUGUUCGGAAUUACUGGGCGUAAAGCGCACGUAGGCGGAUAUUUAAGUCAGGGGUGAAAUCCCAGAGCUCAACUCUGGAACUGCCUUUGAUACUGGGUAUCUCGAGUAUGGAAGAGGUGAGUGGAAUUCCGAGUGUAGAGGUGAAAUUCGUAGAUAUUCGGAGGAACACCAGUGGCGAAGGCGGCUCACUGGUCCAUUACUGACGCUGAGGUGCGAAAGCGUGGGGAGCGAUCCGG